ensembl:lncRNA
UAUCGGCUGCCUAGGAUGGAUUCAGGGGUGUGCUCCCUCAGUCCGCACACAGAUCAUGCGUUUAAAACGUUACACACGUUUUCCAACACUACAGCAAUUCGGUGACUGAAUCUACGUUUGUUUGGGGAAAACAAACAUCAAAAUAGAGUUGGCGGUAAGGUUGUUUACCUCUCAGUAGCUGGGUAAUUUUGGAGGGCAGAUUGCAUUUCUUCUCAGACCAACCCCUAACCCCUUCCCCCCUCUUUCCAUCGCCAGACGCUGAGAUAUACUAGACUACAAAAACUUUGCUGGAUGUUUCAGGAGAAACAUUUCAGGACCAGAUUUUCAUUAUUUUUAGUAAAUGUAUGUACAUUAAGUACAUUAAACUGUGUUUUAUCAGUUUUGCAAAGGGGACUUUUUGUGUCGGUAAAUUAGAACACUAGAAACAUUGUUUCUGAAGGAGCGCACUGGGCGGAGGCAGCGACCCAAGCCUUUUGUUAUUAAUCUAAUCUCCACAGUCACGUCUUUUCCAUUAAUUGGACUUCUGACAGGUGACAUGGAUCUCUCUCUGUUGGUGGUAUUAUGCUCCUGUGUUCCUCCUGCCUUGGGGUCAGGAUUUGGCAGGGAGAUGCCAGGUACGUUUUCAGUGCAUUGGAUGCCUCAGUUGUGUCAAAGGAAUGAGAAAUGCAGUCUGUCUGCCUUGGAAUGGACACAGAAUGCAUGGCCAUCUUUGUUGGCUUAUCAUUUGCCCAAGAGCAGUGUUUCCCAACUCCAGUCCUCAAAUACCCCCCCCCCCCCUUUUUUUACAGUACACAUUUUUAUUGUAGCCCUGGACAAACAAACCUGAUUCAACUUGUCAACUAAUUGUUGAAUCCUGAUGAGUUGAAUUUGGCGGGGUUUUUUUGUCCUGGGCUACAACAAAAAUGUGUGCUGGUGAGGGGGGGAAAAGGAGUUGGGAAACACUGCCUGGUCCCCCCAGACUUUUCAUAUUUUUGUUUUAACCUUAAACUGGCACACCUGAUUCAAUUAGUCAAAAGCUUGAUGAAUAGUUGACUAAUUGAACCAGGUGUGCCCGUUUAGGGUUAAAAGAAAGGUGUGAAAUGUCUGAGGGAUAGGGGCAGAGGAGAGGGUUGGGAAACCCUGUCCUAGAGUAUGGCUGUCUGUAGAGAAACUGGAAAGGUCAUUCACAGUGCAUUGUUUCCCCCCAGGAUGUUUUUCAGCAGUGGUGGCAGAGUUAGCGGGGGGAGGUUGGGGGUUGCGAUGAAUGGGGUCUUCCUGGGGCAGACAUCAACAUAAUAAAUAUAUAUUUAUUUUUCAGUGUCGGCCAAUGCAUGAAGGGGAGACACUGCAAUGUGAUAAAGGAAAGUGUGUAGUGUCAUAUUUUAGCGAACUGUGUAGUGUCUUAAGAGUGCCAGUGAUUAAAGAAUGAGCUGGUCUCUGGUCUGUCUGUCUGUCUAUACUAACAGGGUCAUCUAUAGGCAGGGACAUGCCAGGUAAGUUUGUUUUAUUGGAUGCCUCGGGCUUGUCAUAAAGGAAUGAGAAACAUGCUGUCUGUUUUGGAAUGGGCACUGAGAAUGCACAGCCAUAUUUGUUAUUGGCUGGUCAGUUGCCCUAUAGCAGGGUUUCAUCAAACUCAGUCCUGGGGUCCCCAUUUUGGUUUUUCCCCUAGCACUACACAGCUGAUUGAAAUAACUCCUCGUCGGGGUGGCAGGACCGAGUUUGGGAAACUCUGCCAUAGAGCACGUGUUGAACUCAGCCCUCCGUGAAAUGAGUGUCUGUGGGUUUUUGCUCCGCCCUAAUUAGUAAAGAACUUCCCUCACCUGGUUGUCUAGGUCUUAAUUGAAAGGAAAAAGCAAAGACCAGCAGACACUAGGCCCUCCAUAGAAUGAGUUUGAUACCCCUGCCCUAGUGUAUGGCUCUCUGUAGAGUAACUAGCUUUGCUUUGUCUGUACUUGCAUAUUGUGCAACUAUAUUAAGUACUAUUGUGUAAGGAUUUCAAGUUAUGAUUAAAUCCAGUUCAUUUGAAAUGGGCUCAUCUAGACUGGUGUAAGAAAGAGCCUUUGCUUUCCUGGCCAGGAUUAGCCUUUUUCUCAUGUGAGGGAUUUUAGUAAUCAGUCAUUUGAAGUGCAGCUAAGCCUCUCAUAUUGUAGUAGCAUGUGGCGCUGGGCAGUCCUACACUGCACUUUGGGUUGUGUUGUGCUGACUUGUUCCUGAGCAGAUUGACCUACAUUAGUUUUUCUCCUCAGUCAACAGGGUGAUUUGGGCAGGAUAUGAGUUCCGCUGGUAAUGGAGAGGAAUGACACCAAACGAAAGUGUUUGUCGGACAUUAGGCUUUUCUGCUGCACCAUAAAAAGCCCUGCUUGCUCGGGUUGUCAUUCUCUGACAUCCUUUAGAAGAAAACAAAAUGAAAAUGUCAGCAGAUACGAGAUGAGCCAAUCAGAGGAGCAUUUCGUUGUUAGAGCUGAGCAGUGAUUAUUGUACUACACCUUGGAUUCUUCAAGAAGUGGUUCUAUUACCUCUGUACUAAACGAAGCAGGAGUCAUGUAUUUGUUGUUUGGUGAUCAGAUAACAUGACAUCCAUGUGAUUUAGAUUCUUAAUCUAAAUGGUAUUGUGAGGGAAGAUGUGACAUUUGGUUGAUUCUCAAAUGGUUACUCGCACUGCACAAGCCAACGUGCGGGUACACACACACACACACACACACAGUGAAGUCUGCUUUAUUACAGCACCUACCUGAGCUAACAUGGGUCACUGGCCUUAGGAAAUGACUGCAGAGUGGGUAUGGUUAUAAAUGCAUCAGGACUUGCAACUCUGUGUGGUGUCUUGCAUCAUUGUAGCAUUAGCAUUUCCACUACAUUUUUUUCCACCGCAUUUUGCAACUCUUCUGAGGAGAGAGCCACCUGAGUGUUGCCAGAUUGUAUUUAAAAGUAUGCACUGUGUAUCACAUCACCCAGUGGUGUAAUCUGUGUAAGUGCACGCACCAUUCCUAAACCUUCAGUACAAGUGGACCAUAUUUUUAAAAAGCACAGAACA